AAUAACGAGCAAAGUCUCCCGAAAAUAGUUUGAAAGUUGGUUUCUGACAAGAGGAAAGAAAAGGCUGCAACACUAAAGGAAGACUCAAAGUGUUAAAAGGACGCUCAAAAUGUAGUAUUGUGGCAGGUCGGGAAUCCCAUCAUCUUUAUUGAGAGACAUUCCUUUGGAAAGAAUACUUCCCAAUCAUUCUAUCAAAAAUAUACUUGAAGAGAAGCCCUGCUGGAAUGAUUUAGGGGAUACAUAGAAUGGAACGUGAAAUCCUGUAAUUUGCAGCAGCAUGGAUGAAGUGGAGGCUAUUAUCUUAAGUGAAUAAUUAAAUGUUUUGAUAGUAAAAAAUCAAUGAAUGACCUUCUAUUUGGGUGCGAUCAUCAAUGUGGGAAGACGGCGGCAGUAUACCCAGGACUAGCACAAGUGAACAAAUGGAGAUUCUUUCUCUGUUCCCCAGGCUGGAGUGUAGUGGCACAAUCUCGGCUCACUGCAACCUCUGCUUCCUAGGUUCAAGCAAUUCUUGUGCCUCAGCCUCCCAAGUAGCUGGAAUUACAGAGGCAAAGUUUCACUCUGUGGCCCAGG
rnacentral:antisense_RNA from 1 species